GACGGAGGGUGCAAGCGUUGUUCGGAAUUACUGGGCGUAAAGGGCGCGUAGGCGGCCUGUUAAGUCGAACGUGAAAUCCCUGGGCUCAACCCAGGAACUGCGUCCGAUACUGGCAGGCUAGAGUGCGGUAGAGGAUGGCGGAAUUCCCGGUGUAGCAGUGAAAUGCGUAGAGAUCGGGAGGAACAUCUGUGGCGAAGGCGGCCAUCUGGACCAGCACUGACACUGAGGCACGAAAGCGUGGGGAGCAAACAGG
rnacentral:rRNA from 1 species